AUCUCGUUCGAUCACCGAAGUUAAGCAUCGUAGAGCCAGGUCAGUACUUAGAUGGGGGACCGCUUGGGAACACCUGGUACUGUAAGC